AGACACCUGCUCUGAACUCUUUCUCCAGCAGCGCUGAGGAGUGCGACAUUCGGCAAAUGGCAAUGCGGCAGUAAGGAAGGAAUCUGUGCCCUUUAAUGACCUAGAAGAGUAGAUCUACUUCGCCACCUGGACCAGCCAGACUAAUGUGAGAAAUACACUUCUGUCCAUGUUAUUCAUCUGUCAUUGGAUCUGGGUCUGGGGACAGACCCCCACAGCUGGCGUCCCAUGUGAGGAAUGCUGCAAAGGAUCACGACGGGUGCCCCAAAAAUGAAGGUGAAAAGGACCACGCAGUCAGUGAGUCAGAUGCAAAGCUAGAAUAAGAGCAAUGACCACCUCGCUAGACAGACUUGUUGCUGCACACAUCUGUACUCUUCAGUCAACAGAACCCGAUGCAAAGAACAGAAAAGGGAGAGAUGUGGGAUUUCAGACAGACUGGUGGUGUGUCUGGAAUUUAUUCCUUCUGGCGGUUUCUUGGUCUUGCUGACUUCAAGAAUGAAGCUGCAGACCUUGGUGGUGAGUGUUACAGCUCUUAAAGGUGGUGUAGACCCAAAGAGUGAGCAGCAGCAAGAUUUAUCGUGAAGAGCAAAAGAACAAAGCUUCUAUGGUGUGGACGGGGACCCAAGUGGGCUGCCACUGCUGGCUGGGGUGGCCGGUUUUUAUUCCCUUAUUUGUCCCCGCCCACAUC